rnacentral:rRNA from 1 species
UACGUAGGGGGCAAGCGUUAUCCGGAUUUACUGGGCGUAAAGCGCGUUAAGGCGGCCGGCUAAGUUGGUGGUGAAAUUCCAGGGCUCAACCCUGGAACUGCCUCCAAUACUGGUCGGCUCGAGUGCGGGAGAGGAAGGUGGAAUUCCCGGUGUAGUAGUGAAAUGCGUAGAUAUCAGGAGGAACACCGGUGGCGAAGGCGGGUCUCUGGGCAGUAACUGACGCUGAGGAGCGAAAGCGUGGGGAGCGAACAGG